CAAUAGCGUAUAUUAAAGUUGUUGCAGUUAAAAGGCUCGUAGUUGAAUUUUUGCUUGCCGCCGAUGUCGGAACUUCCGUACGUUCGGCGGCGUGCAUCCUUGGGUGGAACCUGUGUGGCAUUAGGUUGUCGUGCAGGGGAUGCUCAUCGUUUACUGUGAAAAAAUUAGAGUGUUCAAAGCAGGCUUACGCCGUUGAAUAUAUUAGCAUGGAAUAAUAAGAUAGGACCUUGGUACUAUUUUGUUGGUUUGCGCACCGAGGUAAUGAUUAACAGGGACAGUUGGGGGUAUUCGUAUUCCAUUGUCAGAGGUGAAAUUCUUGGAUUUCUGGAAGACGAACUACUGCGAAAGCAUUUACCAAGGAUGUUUUCAUUA
rnacentral:rRNA from 1 species